CAACAAAUGAAUCGUAAAUAUUAUUAAGGGAAGUUGUGGAAAACAAAAGAACAAACAAAUUACAUUGUAGAAAAUUGUGAAAUUAUUUAAAAAAAUUAAUAUUUUAAAAUAUUUUGUCAUCAGUGAAUUAUAUUAUUAAAAACAAAACGAAUAGAAUGUAAAUUAGAUUAAAAAUAUACACAUAUUGUUUGUUACAAUCAACGAACGAAAAAAAGAAAAUACAAACCAAAAUAAUUAUCGAUUAUUACAAUAAUUGUGCCUGUGUAAAAAGAAUAUAGUAGAAAGAAAUUUAAUUAACAUUGAAUUUCAUUUGCGCCCAGUCAAAAUUAGCUACAGAUGGUGUUCCACUGGCUAAAAAUAAAUAAAAAUGUUAUUAAUCAAUAUAUCUCCGGCAUUUCUAGCCGGUCAAUUUUGGUGGAUUCAGUAAUACUUGUUUUGAUUUUUGGUACCAGUUGCUGUGAUGCAACUGCUACAGACAUCGCGCUUGACGCGAAGGCGACGUUAACGCAUCGCAUUGACAGCCUUAACCUUCUUGUCUACACCUUCCUGUUGACCUUGACUGUAUUGACAAUAUGGUUGUUUAAGCAUCAUCGUGUCUCAUGGUUACAUGAGACUGGCCUCGCUGUGAUAUAUGGUUUAAUUGUGGGUGCUGCAAUACGAUAUUCAGCUUCAUCAAAACCACUUGUACAUUUGGAAGUUGAACCUGAUCCAAAUUCGAAAUUCAAUCAAACGCUACCUCCAGAUACACUCUGGUUACAAUUUCCUGGCAAAUUAACACCACCAAAUAAUAGCGAGCCUUUAGAAAAUAAAACGUAUGCAUAUACUUUCCGUAGUCAAGUUUAUGAUGUAGUUGAGAAUGAAAUCGAUUUAAAAGCAACAUUUGAUCCAGAAAUAUUUUUCAAUAUAAUUUUACCACCUAUUAUAUUUCACGCAGGCUACAGUUUAAAAAAGAAAUAUUUUUUUCGUAAUCUUGGCGCUAUUUUAACAUUUGCUAUAUUAGGCACAACAUUAUCAGCGUUCCUAAUAGGUGCCAUUAUGUACGGUUGUGUGAAACUGAUGCCAUCAUAUCUGAGCAGCAGUUUUACAUUUCUGGACACACUGUAUUUCGGAGCGUUGAUUUCGCCAACAGAUCCACUAACAAUACUAGCCAUUUUUCAUGAUCUACAUGUUGAUGUUAAUCUUUAUGCGCUGGUUUUUGGUGAAUCUGUUUUAAAUGAUGCGGUAGCGAUUGUAUUAAGUGGAGCAAUACAAAAUUAUGGAGAACACUAUUCAAGCACUGGGGAGUUCGAGACAUAUGCCUUCUUCCGGGCGUUAAGCGAUUUCUUUGGUAUAUUCAUGUUAUCAUUAUUAAUUGGUGCUUUAAUGGGCUGCUUUACAGCAUUGUUGACUAAAUUUACUCGAGUUCGAGAUUUUCCUCUACUAGAAUCGGCGUUAUUCGUUUUGAUGUCCUACAGUACUUUUCUUAUAGCGGAAGCUUCUGAAUUAACUGGUGUGGUAGCUGUAUUAUUCUGUGGCAUUUGUCAGGCACAUUACACCUAUAAUAAUUUGUCGGAGAAUUCUCGCACAAGAACAAAAGAAAUUUUUGAACUAUUAAAUUUCUUAGCUGAGAAUUUCAUAUUUUCAUAUAUUGGUGUUUCUAUGUUCACCUUUCCCAAACACCACUUUGAUGCUGUAUUCAUAAUAACUGGUUUUAUAUGUGCAGCCAUCGGACGCGCUGUUAACAUAUAUCCCUUAUCAUGGCUGUUAAAUUUAAAUCGAAAUCCAAAAAUUUCAUCUAAUUUCCAGCACAUGCUAUUUUUUGCUGGUUUGCGAGGUGCAAUGUCAUUUGCCUUAGCUAUACGUAAUACCAUAUCAGAGGCUCGUCAAACAAUGUUAACAGCAACAUCUUUAAUUGUUAUAUUUACUGUUGUUAUACAGGGUGGCGCAUCAAAUUUUCUAUUGAGCUGGCUCAAGAUACCUGUGGGUGUUGAUGAAGAGACUGAACAAUUAAAUAAUUAUCAGAUUCACAGUGUUUACAAUUCAAUGGAAAAUACAACAAACGCGUCUGAUGGUUAUUUACAGGAUUGUGGCGAUAUGGAAAAUAAUGCCGCUGCGGGCAUUGGUAGCAAUGGUAGACGUAAUGAAAAAGCCAUUCUUGCCAGACUGUGGGGUAACUUUGAUACAAAAUAUAUGAAACCAUUGUUAACACAUUCAAGACCAACUUUAUUAGAGACCUUGCCGGUGUGUUGUAACCCUGUGGCACGACUUUUAACAACCACCGAACAGUUGACACAGGAUGGUGGGUUAAGGCGUACCGAUUCAGAUUCUGAUAUUUGCAUAGACGACAAUGAUAUAGGUCGUAGUCGUAGCGGAAGUGGUGGAGGCUCAGUUACUGGCGCGACAGGUGAUCUUCGCCGUAACUCGAUUAAUCGCUUAAUAUAUAACUAAACAAUGUAGUUAACAAUUAACAAAUUAAAGAAAAAAACGAAACAAAACUUGUAAAUAUGUAUGUACGUAAGAUAUUGAUAAUCCUUUACGCACCUGUCAUUUGUAGCUUUAACAAGUUCCUUUUAAUUUAAAAUGAAUCUUUUAUUGUUUUAAUUAAAAUAACUUUUUUGAAUCUCUUAUAAAAAAUUUAUUUUUUUGUUAUAUUUUUUAUUUAUUUAUAUAUGAUUUUAAAAUUUUAAUUUCCUAAAUAUUGUGAUUUAAACUAAGUUGCUUUUAAAGAAAUACUUUAUUAUUUAAUUAAGUUCAAUUAGAGUGAGAAUUGAAUACUUAAAAAAAUACAAUUGGGUGUGAUAUUUUAUUUAUUUUUCUAUUUUGUUAUAAAAAGUCUAAAAUAAAUAAUAUGAAAACACUUAAAUAGAAACUUUAACAAUGUACACAUUAAAAAAAAAUAAAUAUAUUUAAAUAAAUCUUGAAAA